CUGUAAUAGAAUACCUGAGAAUGGGUAAUUUAUAAAGAAAAAAAGGUUUAUUGGGUCCAUGGUUAUGAAGGCUGUAAAGUACAAAAUUGGAUGACCACAUCUGGUGAGGGCCAUGUGUGGCUGGAAAAGAGAAUAGCCUACUCUCAAAAUAAUCCAGUCCUGUGCCCGUGAAAGGUCAGUCAGAGAAAAAGCAUUAAUCUCUUUGUGAUGGCGCUUCCCCCAUGACCUAAACACCUCCCUUGAGGCUCCGCCUCUUAGCUCAGCUGCCGUGGUAACCACACUCCAACAUGAGUGUCCCAGCUGACAAACCACAGUCCAAUCAUAGGACCUUCAUUUUCUAACACUACUGUAGGCAGCCUGAACUCUCAAGGUUAUGUGGUCAGUCCUGGGACAGAGGCAGGUGUGAGCCCAGGCAAUCUGACUCCAGCACCUCGGCUUUGGGCCUCACACUGAGGCAGUAAAGAGGGACUCUCGGAGCCAAACUUCUCUCUUACUUGCUGUGAAAUCAUGGCUUAGAUCAAGCAGAUUGGGGACAAAUGCUACAUAAAGGAUGUCUUCUCAGUGGCCCACACCAAGAGGUGCAUGAUGUUUCAAUUUGUGGGAAGAUUCUUUAAUAAGACCAUAGACAAUUUGUUCCUCUCAGACGUGCACAUGGCCGACUCCAGAACAGAUCACAAGGCUGCAUGCUCUGUGACACAGGGACACAGGUGUUCACAGGAUGUGUCCCACCCAUCCUUCCUUCCUCACCUUGCCAUGUCCUCCUGGCUUUUAGGGAACUGGGUCCCUCUCAUGUCCCUCCCCACCCAUUUUGGAGGCUCACCGAGAGUAGGCACUCUGCAAAUCCUUGCCAAAACAAAAUAAAUAGAAUGUAUGUGACCUGAAGCCCUGUCCAUGUCUUGGAGUGGGUGCUAGGAGACAAGGAAUAAAUGUCAC
rnacentral:lncRNA from 1 species